CGGCGGACGGGUGAGUAACACGUGGAUAACCUACCUAUAAGACUGGUAUAACUUCGGGAAACCGGAGCUAAUACCGGAUAAUAUAUUGAACCGCAUGGUUCAAUAGUGAAAGACGGUUUUGCUGUCACUUAUAGAUGGAUCCGCGCCGCAUUAGCUAGUUGGUAAGGUAACGGCUUACCAAGGCAACGAUGCGUAGCCGACCUUAGAGGGUGAUCGGCCACACUGGAACUGAGACACGGUCCAG
rnacentral:rRNA from 1 species